UACGAAGGGGGCUAGCGUUGCUCGGAAUCACUGGGCGUAAAGCGCACGUAGGCGGAUUGCUAAGUCAGGGGUGAAAUCCUGGAGCUCAACUCCAGAACUGCCUUUGAUACUGGCGAUCUUGAGUCUGGGAGAGGUGAGUGGAACUCCGAGUGUAGAGGUGAAAUUCGUAGAUAUUCGGAAGAACACCAGUGGCGAAGGCGGCUCACUGGCCCGGUACUGACGCUGAGGUGCGAAAGCGUGGGGAGCAAACAGG
rnacentral:rRNA from 1 species